rnacentral:rRNA from 1 species
CACGCAGGCGGAUCGUUAAGUCAGGGGUGAAAUCCCGAGGCUCAACCUCGGAACUGCCUUUGAUACUGGCGAUCUUUGAGUCCGGGAGAGGUGAGUGGAACUCCGAGUGUAGAGGUGAAAUUCGUAGAUAUUCGGAAGAACACCAGUGGCGAAGGCGGCUCACUGGCCCGGUACUGACGCUCAUGUGCGAAAGCGUGGGGAGCAAACA